rnacentral:rRNA from 1 species
CCUACGGGUGGCAGCAGUGAGGAAUAUUGGUCAAUGGACGCAAGUCUGAACCAGCCAUGCCGCGUGCAGGAAGACGGCUCUAUGAGUUGUAAACUGCUUUUGUACGAGGGUAAACUCAGAUACGCGUAUCUUUUUGCAAGUAUCGUACGAAUAAGGAUCGGCUAAUUCCGUGCCAGCAGCCGCGGUAAUACGGAGGAUUCAAGCGUUAUCCGGAUUUAGUGGGUUUAAAGGGUGCGUAGGCGGUCGGGUAAGUUAGAGGUGAAAUGCCGAGGCUCAACUUCGGCAUUGCCUCUGAUACUGGUCGGCUAGAGAGUAGUUGAGGUAGGCGGAAUGUAUGGUGUAGCGGUGAAAUGCUUAGAGAUCAUACAGAACACCGAUUGCGAAGGCAGCUUACCAAGCUACUUCUGACGUUGAGGCACGAAAGCGUGGGGAGCAAACAGGAUUAGAUACCCGAGUAGUC